rnacentral:rRNA from 1 species
UGGGGAAUAUUGCACAAUGGGCGCAAGCCUGAUGCAGCGACGCCGCGUGAGGGAUGACGGCCUUCGGGUUGUAAACCUCUUUUGUUAGGGAGCAAGCGAGAGUGAGUGUACCUUUCGAAUAAGCACCGGCUAACUACGUGCCAGCAGCCGCGGUAAUACGUAGGGUGCAAGCGUUAUCCGGAAUUAUUGGGCGUAAAGAGCUCGUAGGCGGCUUGUCGCGUCCGGUGUGAAAGUCCAUCGCUUAACGGUGGAUCUGCGCCGGGUACGGGCAGGCUAGAAUGCGGUAGGGGAGACUGGAAUUCCCGGUGUAACGGUGGAAUGUGUAGAUAUCGGGAAGAACACCAAUGGCGAAGGCAGGUCUCUGGGCCGUUAUUGACGCUGAGGAGCGAAAGCGUGGGGAGCGAACA